GUAGGUGGCAAGCGUUGCCCCGGAAUUAUUGGGCGUAAAGCGCGCGCAGGCGGGUUCUUUAAGUCUGAUGUGAAAGCCCACGGGCUCAACCGUGGAGGGUCGUUGGAAACUGGAGAACUUGAGUACAGAAGAGGAAAGCGGAAUUCCACGUGUAGCGGUGAAAUGCGUAGAGAUGUGGAGGAACACCAGUGGCGAAGGCGGCUUUCUGGUCUGUAACUGACGCUGAGGCGCGAAAGCGUGGGGAGCAAACAGGAUUAGAUACCCUGGUAGUCCACGCCGUAAACGAUGAGUGCUAAGUGUUAGGGGGUUUCCGCCCCUUAGUGCUGCAGCCGACGCAUUAAGCACUCCGCCUGGGGAGUACGGCCGCAAGGCUG
rnacentral:rRNA from 1 species